UACGUAGGGAGCGAGCGUUGUCCGGAAUCAUUGGGCGUAAAGCGCGCGUAGGCGGCCCGAUAAGUCCGUUGUGAAAGUCAAAGGCUCAACCUUUGAAUGCCGAUGGAUACUGUCGGGCUAGAGUCCGGAAGAGGCGAGUGGAAUUCCUGGUGUAGCGGUGGAAUGCGCAGAUAUCAGGAGGAACACCAAUUGCGAAGGCAGCUCGCUGGGACGUUACUGACGCUGAGACGCGAAAGCGUGGGGAGCAAACAGG
rnacentral:rRNA from 1 species